rnacentral:rRNA from 1 species
GAUGAACGCUAGCUACAGGCUUAACACAUGCAAGUCGAGGGGAAACGACAUCGAAAGCUUGCUUUUGAUGGGCGUCGACCGGCGCACGGGUGAGUAACGCGUAUCCAACCUGCCCACCACUUGGGGAUAACCUUGCGAAAGUAAGACUAAUACCCGAUGAUAUCCCUAGAAGACAUCUGAAAGGGAUUAAAGAUUUAUCGGUGAUGGAUGGGGAUGCGUCUGAUUAGCUUGUUGCGGGGUAACGGCCCACCAAGGCAACGAUCAGUAGGGGGUUCUGAGAGGAAGGUCCCCCACAUUGGAACUGAGACACGGUCCAAACUCCUACGGGAGGCAGCAGUGAGGAAUAUUGGUCAAUGGGCGAGAGCCUGAACCAGCCAAGUAGCGUGCAGGAUGACGGCCCUAUGGGUUGUAAACUGCUUUUAUAAGGGAAUAAAGUGGGUCUCGUGAGACUUUUUGCAUGUACCUUAUGAAUAAGGACCGGCUAAUUCCGUG